GACGAACGCUGGCGGCGUGCCUAAUACAUGCAAGUCGAGCGAGCGGAACUAACAGAUUUACUUCGGUAAUGACGUUAGGAAAGCGAGCGGCGGAUGGGUGAGUAACACGUGGGGAACCUGCCCCAUAGUCUGGGAUACCACUUGGAAACAGGUGCUAAUACCGGAUAAGAAAGCAGAUCGCAUGAUCAGCUUUUAAAAGGCGGCGUAAGCUGUCGCUAUGGGAUGGCCCCGCGGUGCAUUAGCUAGUUGGUAAGGUAAAGGCUUACCAAGGCGAUGAUGCAUAGCCGAGUUGAGAGACUGAUCGGCCACAUUGGGACUGAGACACGGCCCAAACUCCUACGGGAGGCAGCAGUAGGGAAUCUUCCACAAUGGACGCAAGUCUGAUGGAGCAACGCCGCGUGAGUGAAGAAGGUUUUCGGAUCGUAAAGCUCUGUUGUUGGCGAACAAGGAUAGAGGUAGUAACUGGCCUUUAUUUGACGGUAAUCAACCAGAAAGUCGCGGCUAACUACGUGCCAGCAGCCGCGGUAAUACGUACGUGGCAAGCGUUGUCCGGAUUUAUUGGGCGUAAAGCGAGCGCAGGCGGAAGAAUAAGUCUGAUGUGAAAGCCCUCGGCUUAACCGAGGAACUGCAUCGGAAACUGUUUUUCUUGAGUGCAGAAGAGGAGAGUGGAACUCCAUGUGUAGCGGUGGAAUGCGUAGAUAUAUGGAAGAACACCAGUGGCGAAGGCGGCUCUCUGGUCUGCAACUGACGCUGAGGCUCGAAAGCAUGGGUAGCGAACAGGAUUAGAUACCCUGGUAGUCCAUGCCGUAAACGAUGAGUGCUAAGUGUUGGGAGGUUUCCGCCUCUCAGUGCUGCAGCUAACGCAUUAAGCACUCCGCCUGGGGAGUACGACCGCAAGGUUGAAACUCAAAGGAAUUGACGGGGGCCCGCACAAGCGGUGGAGCAUGUGGUUUAAUUCGAAGCAACGCGAAGAACCUUACCAGGUCUUGACAUCUAGUGCCAUUUGUAGAGAUACAAAGUUCCCUUCGGGGACGCUAAGACAGGUGGUGCAUGGCUGUCGUCAGCUCGUGUCGUGAGAUGUUGGGUUAAGUCCCGCAACGAGCGCAACCCUUGUUAUUAGUUGCCAGCAUUAAGUUGGGCACUCUAAUGAGACUGCCGGUGACAAACCGGAGGAAGGUGGGGAUGACGUCAAGUCAUCAUGCCCCUUAUGACCUGGGCUACACACGUGCUACAAUGGGCAGUACAACGAGAAGCGAGCCUGCGAAGGCAAGCGAAUCUCUGAAAGCUGUUUUCAGUUCGGACUGCAGGUCUGCAACUCGACUGCACGAAGCUGGAAUCGCUAGUAGUCGCGGAUCAGCACGCCGCGGUGAAUACGUUCCCGGCCCU
rnacentral:rRNA from 1 species